GACGAACGCUGGCGGCGUGCUUAACACAUGCAAGUCGAACGGAAAGGCCCUGCUUUUGUGGGGUGCUCGAGUGGCGAACGGGUGAGUAACACGUGAGUAACCUGCCCUUGACUUUGGGAUAACUUCAGGAAACUGGGGCUAAUACCGGAUAGGAGCUCCUGCUGCAUGGUGGGGGUUGGAAAGUUUCGGCGGUUGGGGAUGGACUCGCGGCUUAUCAGCUUGUUGGUGGGGUAGUGGCUUACCAAGGCUUUGACGGGUAGCCGGCCUGAGAGGGUUACCGGCCACAUUGGGACUGAGAUACGGCCCAGACUCCUACGGGAGGCAGCAGUGGGGAAUAUUGCACAAUGGGCGGAAGCCUGAUACAGCAACGCCGCGUGCGGGAUGACGGCCUUCGGGUUGUAAACCGCUUUCGCCUGUGACGAAGCGUGAGUGACGGUAAUGGGUAAAGAAGCACCGGCUAACUACGUG
rnacentral:rRNA from 1 species